UGUUCGUCAGGAGCUGAUUGUGGUGAUCUUCAAGGAUGCCUGCAGAUGAGUUGGACUCUCUGGAUCUCAUUUGCUGGUAGUGGAAAUAUGACAGUGAAUAAGAAAUUUGUGGUAGAGCAGCUGUGACUGAAUCCCAUUACUUCAGGGAUUUUGCCCUGUGGUGUAUCUAUUUCUCAUGACUCCCCAAGAAGACGUGCGGAGCAUUUCUGGACUGAAGGCAUCUUCAAAGAUGCGUUCUGAGAGAGGAUUUCUUUCAGACAGACACGAAGCAAUACAGGCAUGCCUGACAGAAAGCAUCUUAAGGAGGACAAAAAAUAAAAUU